AGGGCCUUAGGAUAAUACCAGACCAAGGGCCUUCAAAGCCUUAAGUGGGAGUGAAAAUCUCCCAGACCCUG
rnacentral:tRNA from 1 species